rnacentral:tRNA from 1 species
AGAAAUAUAGGUUAAUUCAUUAAACCAUGGGCCUUCAAAGCCCAAAUUGUGAGCUACUCACUAUUUCUG